GACUCCUUCUUCAGAAUGUUCAACUACAGCCGUGAGGCUGGAGAAGGAACUGAAUGUGAGGGUGCAGUUGUUCAGCGCCAGACGAAGAGCCGUGUCAGAGGCUGUCCUCCAGGGAACCUGCUGGAAGUUCCCCCCACAAUUCCUCCUUUCUGGGAUGGCAGUUCUUUGUUUAUUGAAGUCACACCUUGGACACCAUCAGCUAUUUCAGAACUAUGAAAAAAAGAGCUUGAAACCAUGAGGUCCUGUCCACCAUGGGGAAUGGGAAGAGACCCAGCAAGAAGCCGAACCAUGCCUUCCUGUGAGCCAGCCAGUGCACAGACUGGGAGACCAGGUGUCUUCCCUCUGCCCCACUAAGCAACUGACUGAUUCAGAGGACUCAGGAUAAGAUGAUAGUAACUGAGGCGAAGGGAACAUCUCCAUGCUUGUAUUGUUUGAUUGACUCUGCUGGCUGGACUGGUGGUCUGGGCAUUUACUUGGAAGAUGGCAGUGUGCAUCGUGGCAACUAUUUUGAAGAUAACAAUAUGCAAUGUAGCAACUGUUAUUAAAUUCCUAUCAUUUUGUUUUGAAAACCUGUAUAGCUAUGUUUUGUUGUUUUGCUUUGGUAUUAUU